AGCGUAUAUUAAAGCUGCUGCAGUUAAAAAGCUCGUAGUUGAAUUUCGGGACUAAUAUGUCGGUCGUGCCUCGGUACGUACUGGCUUAUUGGUUUCUCCUUUCUGAAGAACCAUGAUGUCAUUUAUUUGGUGUCGUGGGGAAUCAGGACUGUUACUUUGAAAAAAUUAGAGUGUUUAAAGCAGGCUCACGCUUGAAUACAUUAGCAUGGAAUAAUGAAAUAGGACGUUUGAUUCUAUUUUGUUGGUUUCUAGGAUCGACGUAAUGAUUAAUAGGGAUAGUUGGGGGCAUUAGUAUUCAAUUGUCAGAGGUGAAAUUCUUGGAUUUAUUGAAGACUAACUACUGCGAAAGCAUUUGCCAAGGAUGUUUUCAUUAAUCAAGAACGAAAGUUAGGGGAUCGAAGACGAUCAGAUACCGUCGUAGUCUUAACCAUAAAC
rnacentral:rRNA from 1 species